AUUGAACGCUGGCGGCAGGCCUAACACAUGCAAGUCGAGCGGAUGAAGGAGCUUGCUCCUGGAUUCAGCGGCGGACGGGUGAGGAAUGCCUAGGAAUCUGCCUGGUAGUGGGGGAUAACGUUCGGAAACGGGCGCUAAUACCGCAUACGUCCCGGGGGAGAAAGGGGGGGAUCUUCGGACCUCACGCUAUCAGGUGAGCCUAGGUCGGAUUAGCUAGUUGGUGGGGUAAAGGCCUACCAAGGCGACGAUCCGUAACUGGUCUGAGAGGAUGAUCAGUCACACUGGAACUGAGACACGGUCCAGACUCCUACGGGAGGCAGCAGUGGGGAAUAUUGGACAAUGGGCGAAAGCCUGAUCCAGCCAUGCCGCGUGUGUGAAGAAGGUCUUCGGAUUGUAAAGCACUUUAAGUUGGGAGGAAGGGCAGUAAGUUAAUACCUUGCUGUUUUGACGUUACCAACAGAAUAAGCACCGGCUAACUUCGUG
rnacentral:rRNA from 1 species